AAACAUUUGCCCCUGCCCAGAACAAAGCAGUCUCUAUCAUGAUUUGAAAAAGGGGCCUCAAAAAACGCUUGGCUGAUUCUAGCAUCUGGUCGUCAAGGAGGCAAUUGACCAUCACCAGCCAAUGUCAGCUCUACCGCUGACUCUUCCCAAGUGUCCUCCCAAUAGGUGAGAAGAGCUAGGAGUCCACCCAGCAGGAAAGCCAUCCUGCUGGCUGUGGGACCCAAAUGCAAAUUAAAAAACCAUGCCCCUGUGGAGCACCUACUUUCCUCCCUUUGGAUGGGUCACUCAUAAUGCUCUCAACCACUCCCCACACUUUCCACAGGGUAUGGCUAAAAUCCAGCCCAAUCUUGACUGUCUUCUUCAGGGUCAUAUCCCAAGACUGGAUCCAUAUCGACAUGGAUGGUAGUUUAUUCUUUGGUUUUCCUCUGGAAUAAUGGACUGUUGAUGGGUCUCAUUCUGUUGGAUUAAAGAAGAGCAUGUAGCCAUUUCUUUAAACAGCGACAUGUGACUACAAAUGAAAAUGAAAUCAGAAGAUUUUACACUCUUGUCCCAUAGUGACAAUGACCAACUGGCUGGAAGCAAGUAGAGGCUGCCUCUUAAGACAGGAAAACAUUUUAACCCUGCUGUUCCCAUGAUGUCACAAGGACUAGAGUGUUGGGGAGGACUGAGAGCACACUCUUCCUCUGGAGUAUGUUAGACUCUAAGGGUCCAUGACACAGGAGUGGGGAACAUUUCAUUCAUCGAGGAUUGAGCCUCUCGUGCUGGGUGUUGAAAGAAACACCAGUGACGUCCCCGUGUAUUCACAUGGAGUAUCUGACAGUCAGUCAUUGCAGGAUUACAGAAGGAGGGGCAGUUCAGAGGGGAGGCCCCGUGGAGGCAGGCAUGGAGGAGCGCGUGGUGACUGACACCGAGAGCUUGUGACCCGGGCAGGUGGCAGACUCUGUUCGGUCAGAAGACUCUGCCGACUGCAGUGCAUAGAAAUCCACGUCCGUCCACGAGAAGUCGCAGGACGAGAACACCGCUGACAGGAAGUCACCUGUCAGAGCGUGCGGCACGAGUGGUGAGAAUGUUGAGUCUGAACCAAGGUCGUGGUGUCACAGUGGUGGAAAGGCCACUGGAGGUGAAAGAAGCAGACCCAGAGUCAUUUCCAAGAACAAACUGGAAGGUUUAUGGGACCAAUUAGGCAGAGAUCCUGAGGAGGAGAGGUGAAGAUGUGCAGUGGUUUCCGGCCAGGAAGAAGAGUGUUCCAUGGACGGUGAGGACAGAUGCGUGCUGGGCUUCUCUGAGGGCUGGGAAGACGCACGGGGAGCUUGAUUUUAGACAUGACACAAGUUCAGUGAUGGUGCUCAACACACAUGCGCCAAGGCGUGUCUCUCACACACACACAGCCUAAGAACAGAGUCCAUGAUCACGGCA